GCGGACGGGUGAGGAAUACAUCGGAAUUUGCCCAGUCGUGGGGGAUAACGUAGGGAAACUUACGCGUAAUACCGCAUACGACCAAACGGUGAAAGCGGGGGAUCAGCAAUGACCUCGCGCGGAUGGAUAAGCCGAUGUCGGAUUAGCUAGUUGGCGGGGUAAGAGCCCACCAAGGCGACGAUCCGUAGCUGGUCUGAGAGGAUGAUCAGCCACACUGGGACUGAGACACGGCCCAGACUCCUACGGGAGGCAGCAGUGGGGAAUAUUGGACAAUGGGGGCAAGCCUGAUCCAGCCAUGCCGCGUGAGUGAUGAAGGCCCUAGGGUUGUAAAGCUCUUUUGUGCGGGAAGAUAAUGACGGUACCGCAAGAAUAAGCCCCGGUAACUUCGUGCCAGCAGCCGCGGUAAUACGAAGGGGGCUAGCGUUGCUCGGAAUCACUGGGCGUAAAGGGUGCGUAGGCGGGUCUUUAAAGUCAGAGGUGAAAUCCUGGAGCUCAAUCCAGAACUGCCUUUGAAUACUGAGGAUCUUGAGUUC
rnacentral:rRNA from 1 species